GACACUGUGGCGGAGUGGUUAACGCGUCGGUCUGCUAAACCGGUGCCCUUGGGGCGCACGGGUUCGAAUCCCGUCGGUGUCG
rfam:Vavraia culicis subsp. floridensis unplaced genomic scaffold supercont1.7, whole genome shotgun sequence.